GGAUGUUUCGAAGACUGUGUGAAAACUCAUUUGGUAACCUCAUGCCGUUACUAUAGCAACCUGCUAACAAAACAUUUGGGACGUGUUAAAGAAAACCUGACGAAACACCUAGCGAGCCCUAUGGAGCCAACGGUUGAACCUUCAGAGCUGCCACCGUACCCCAACUCGGAAGCAUGCACCAUGAAACCCAGCGGUCGGUCAGCGUUCGCCAGCCAGACACUCAAAUAUAGCCCCUAUCACAAGUCCGCAAAGCACUUGUCUUGUUGCGUCCUCUCGCCUGCAACGAGCCUAACAGACAUUUGCAAACACGACAAGGAUCACUUGAAAUCUGUAUAUUACAUGCUGUCCGCGAUUGAAGGAAGGCUGAGAAGGCUCAAGUUGAAUUCCCCCAAUUCGUACGUCCGUAAAAGUACGUAAAGGUGUCAAUAGAUGUCGCUGUUUCAAGUUUUUAGUGUUGUUAGUUCGACAACGCGCUGAUAGAUGUCGCUUUUUGUUUGAAAACCUUUUAGCCUCCUUUCAAUUUUUAGAGCUUUGUUAAUUUUAUAUGCAAUCAAUUAUAUCCAAUAAGAAAGAUGUGACAAUAAAAGACUAAGUAAUUGUUAUUCUGAUUUAUUUGAUACGAUAUAAACUCUGUAGCAAAAGGUUUUAUAAUAAUUUAUAGCUGGAAAAGUCAAAAUGGCGAAAAGUUGGCCAAUUUUCAGUAGACUAGAUCCGACCUAGUUUUUUGAUGUGAUGUGUUUUUUCCAGCUAUAAAUUACACAUUUUAUUUAACGAAAUAAAGAGUACCCCAGAAGAUUUAAUAUACAUAGGAUUCGACUCCCGGAGGUAUACACAAUGAUUAUGUAAAAUAUUUACAAACUCAGGUUUGUUGUUAACAGUUAAUGUGAAUGGCAAACUACAGAUUGAUUUUUGAAAAUGUUUUCAAUAAUGUGUUACUGUCAAUUAUUCAUUAUGUGGU
rnacentral:lncRNA from 1 species